UACGAAGGGGGCUAGCGUUGUUCGGAUUCACUGGGCGUAAAGGGUGCGCAGGCGGCCGAGUGUGUGAGGCGUGAAAGCCCGGGGCUUAACCCCGGAAUUGCACCUCAAACUACACGGCUAGAGCAUUGGAGAGGGUAGCAGAAUUCAUGGUGUAGCAGUGAAAUGCGUAGAUAUCAUGAGGAAUACCAGAGGCGAAGGCGGCUACCUGGACAAUUGCUGACGCUCAGGCACGAAAGCGUGGGGAGCAAAAGGG
rnacentral:rRNA from 1 species